rnacentral:rRNA from 1 species
UGAGUAACACGUGGGUGAUCUGCCCUGCACUUUGGGAUAAGCCUGGGAAACUGGGUCUAAUACCGAAUAGGACCACGCGCUUCAUGGUGUGUGGUGGAAAGCUUUUGCGGUGUGGGAUGGGCCCGCGGCCUAUCAGCUUGUUGGUGGGGUAAUGGCCUACCAAGGCGACGACGGGUAGCCGGCCUGAGAGGGUGUCCGGCCACACUGGGACUGAGAUACGGCCCAGACUCCUACGGGAGGCAGCAGUGGGGAAUAUUGCACAAUGGGCGCAAGCCUGAUGCAGCGACGCCGCGUGGGGGAUGACGGCCUUCGGGUUGUAAACCUCUUUCAGUAUCGGCGAAGCUCCAGGAUUUUUCUUGGGGUGACGGUAGGUACAGAAGAAGCACCGGCCAACUACGUGCCAGCAGCCGCGGUAAUACGUAGGGUGCGAGCGUUGUCCGGAAUUACUGGGCGUAAAGAGCUCGUAGGUGGUUUGUCACGUUGUCCGUGAAAACUCACAGCUUAACUGUGGGCGUGCGGGCGAUACGGGCAGACUGGAGUACUGUAGGGGAGACUGGAAUUCCUGGUGUAGCGGUGGAAUGCGCAGAUAUCAGGAGGAACACCGGUGGCGAAGGCGGGUCUCUGGGCAGUAACUGACGCUGAGGAGCGAAAGCGUGGGGAGCGAACAGGAUUAGAUACCCUGGUAGUCCACGCCGUAAACGGUGGGUACUAGGUGUGGGUUUCCUUCCUUUAGGGAUCCGUGCCGUAGCUAACGCAUUAAGUACCCCGCCUGGGGAGUACGGCCGCAAGGCUAAAACUCAAAGGAAUUGACGGGGGCCCGCACAA